rnacentral:rRNA from 1 species
CGGAGAAUUGCUAGCUUGCUAAUAAUUCUCUAGUGGCGCACGGGUGAGUAACACGUGAGUACCUGCCCCCAAGAGUGGGAUAGCCCCGGGAAACUGGGAUUAAUACCGCAUAAAGCAAUAAAGCAGCAAUGCGCUUGGGGAUGGGCUCGCGUCCUAUUAGUUAGUUGGUGAGGUAACGGCUCACCAAGGCGAUGACGGGUAGCCGGUCUGAGAGGAUGUCCGGCCACACUGGAACUGAGACACGGUCCAGACACCUACGGGUGGCAGCAGUCGAGAAUCAUUCACAAUGGGGGAAACCCUGAUGGUGCGACGCCGCGUGGGGGAUAAGGUCUUCGGAUUGUAAACCCCUGUCAUGUGGGACAUUAAAAGAUAGUACCACAAGAGGAAGAGACGGCUAACUCUGUGCCAGCAGCCGCGGUAAUACAUAGGUCUCAAGCGUUGUUCGGAAUCACUGGGCGUAAAGCGUGCGUAGGCGGUUUCGUAAGUCGUGCGUGAAAGGCGGGGGCUCAACCCCCGGACUGCACAUGAUACUGCGAGACUAGAGUAAUGGAGGGGGAACCGGAAUUCUCGGUGUAGCAGUGAAAUGCGUAGAUAUCGAGAGGAACACUCGUGGCGAAGGCGGGUUCCUGGACAUUAACUGACGCUG